rnacentral:sRNA from 1 species
UCUAUGGACUUGUUCCAAAGUGCCAUGC